GGUUUUAUAGUCAAAAUAUGAUAUUAGAUUGCAAAUCUAAAGUAGUAAUUAUACUAAAGCCU
rnacentral:tRNA from 1 species